CAAUUAAAAUGUCCGGUGUGUAUGACGACCACUUCAUUUUGUAAAUUAGUCACUGUGACUUGAAUCGUUAAAAUUAAACAAUGAAAAUUAUUCACUUUGUCGACAAAGUAACUUAUCUAAUCAGGGAGUCACAAUGAGAUAGCUUAGUUCUUUUCGUUAAUCUUUUUUUUCGGCAGUAACCCUGCAUGCUAUCUUAGCCAAGGCGUUUAAAUCAAAGUAUACAUAAAUACGAUAUUUCGCUAUAUUUUUCGUGACUUACUCAAGAUUCGCUUCAGAAUUAAUCAUAUUGCCACUAAGGAUGGAGUUAAAUGACAUCAGAGCUAUGGAGAUCCAGUGUAAAUAAACCACCACAAAUUAGAUCAAUGAAUUGACAAUUAAAAUGAUCGAUUUUGCCGCAAAAGCGGAGGUCAAAUCCGGUGUGUGUGACGACAAUUUGAAUUUUUUUGUUUUACAGUCGAGGUCAAAAUAUUCGGAAAUAAAAGCACAGAUAUAUUAAUCACUGUGACUUAAAUCGUUAAAAAAACAAUUCAAAUUAUUUACGUUGCCAACAAUAUAGCUUGUCUGAUCGGUGAGUCACAAUAACAUAACUGAGUCCUUUCCGUCAAUCAUUUAUCUAACAGUAUAAAGUUCAAUAGAUUCAAGAUUGUGAAUGAACUAAGGCAAACUCAGUCGAUGAAAAGAAAAAAGUUUUCACUUCGUCAGCGAAGUAUUAGAUCUGGACUAAUGGCCAAACUAACGAUCUUAUUCGCUUUAUCACUGUUUCGGCUAUUCAUCUUUAGCUAUACUAUUGUCAAAUAGCAGUACGAGUUUGUCUCAAGCCAAAAAAUACUAAAAGAAAAGAUCAAAUGUAAAAUUAUCACUGUGACUUAAAUCGUUAAUAUAAAACUAUCCAAUUUAUUUACUUUGUGCUCGGGUAAAAAAAUAACGUGGAUUUGACUUUUCAGACUUACUUGACUUGAUUAACUUUAUUCUGACUGCUAUAAUU